rnacentral:rRNA from 1 species
CCUAAGGGAGGCAGCAGUGAGGAAUAUUGGUCAAUGGCCGGAAGGCUGAACCAGCCAUGCCGCGUGAAGGUCAGUGCCCUAUGGGCGUUAAACUUCUUUUGUGCGGGAGCAAUAAUGGUCACGUGUGGCCAGACGAGAGUACCGUACGAAUAAGCAUCGGCUAACUCCGUGCCAGCAGCCGCGGUAAUACGGGGGAUGCAAGCGUUAUCCGGAUUUAUUGGGUUUAAAGGGUGCGUAGGCUGUGAGGUAAGUCAGCGGUGAAAUGCCCCCGCUCAACGGGGUGAAGUGCCAUUGAUACUGCCUUGCUGGAAUGCGGAUGCCGUGGGAGGAAUGUGUGGUGUAGCGGUGAAAUGCAUAGAUAUCACACAGAACACCGAUUGCGAAGGCAUCUCACGAAUCCGCGAUUGACGCUGAUGCACGAAAGCGUGGGUAUCAAACAGGAUUAGAUACCCGAGUAGUC